AGCGAACGCUGGCGGCGUGCUUAACACAUGCAAGUCGAGUGCGUAGCCCUUUGUAGCAAUACAGAGGGUGGGCGCACGGCGCACGGGUGAGUAACACGUGGGUAACCUGCCCUUCGGUGGGGAAUAACCCCGCCGAAAGCGGGGCGUAAUUCCGCAUAACAUUCCGGGGACGACAUGUUCUCGGACUCAAAGGAGUGAUUCGCCGG
rnacentral:rRNA from 1 species